GCGCGCGCUGCACCACGGGAAACGCGCCCGGAGGACCGGCGGGACGGGAGGAGGAGGAGGAGGAGGAUGGGGAUGACGGCGAUGGGGAAGCGAGCCGGGAGCCGGGAGCCUGGAGCCGCGCCGGGGCUGCGGCGGCUGCCGGGGCGGGCGGUGCCGGGUUACGCGCGGGUCAGGAGGCCGCCGCGGCCGUGGGAGCGCUGCCCGCGCCGGCCCCGGGCGGAGGCGGGGCGGGAGAGACCCUUCGGGCAUCGGCCCCGGCGGGGGCGGCCCCCGAGCCCCUCGGUGCCCGGGCGGCCGCUUAAAGCGCAGCAGGGCCGCCCGGGGCAGAGGAGGCCGGAGCGGCCGCCACGGGAGAAGGCUCAGCUGCUACAGAAGUGCUGUGGCUGGAAGGGACCCCUGGAGAUCAUCCCGACCGACUGCCCCCGGGCAGGGCCGGCUGGAGCAGGUGACACGGGAACGCGUCCAGGUGGGUUUGGAAUGUCCCCGAAGAGGGAGAUUCCACGGCCGCCCUGGGCAGCCUGUUCCGGGGCUCUGCCAGCCUCAGUGGAGAGGAGCAAAGCCUGAUGUGGUUCCCCACUGGUGGUGCUUCCCUGGGGUGAGGCCCCACUGCAGACUGACAGUGCCACUGCACACACCGUGUCCCUCGGGCUCUCGGGGCCUCCAGAUCCGUGUGAAAGUACCAACAUGAGUUUUCUGCACUGUAAUCUCCAUUAUCGUGAUGUUCGCCAUGACCCUGCACAAUAAAUUAUUUGGGGAACUGCUAGAGGCCAAAUCUUAAAACCCAAUGCCGUCCCUGAACUAGCUCUCCACCCAGACUGGCUGCACCUCUGCAGCCUGGGCUGUGGCACGGUGUUGCACCUCUCAGCUUCACCUCUUCCAGGGGUUACCAACUUUUCCACGUUUCUCUAAAUAAAGUCUUUCACCCAGCAACGCACUUAAACACGUGCGUACCUCAAUUGCUCUGUGUCAUUUGCGUAUAAUUAAGCAUGUGCUUAAGUGCUCUGCUGGAUUGAAGCCAAGAUCUGCAUAAGCUCUGUUGGGUAAAAUUUACCAGCUUCGCUGGGCUUAGCUCUGUGACUCAUUCAAUCAGCAGAAGCCCAAAGCUUUUUGCUACAAGCUUAGUUAUUCCCAGGCUGUCCUACAGGAUCACCCUGUCUCCGUGAUGAGGCUUGUUUCCUUCAGCCAGGUGCAUUAAUAAGGUUCUGCACCCUCGCGCAGGUCAGAGGUUGUGCCAUCAAGUUACAGUGCAAGAAAUUGCAUUAAGAAGAGAGUGUUAAUGGCACCAGGACCCUGAAGAAGGGCUGCCCUGACUUUUUGCAAUAUGUGCAUUUCAAAAUGAUGGUGUCGAGUACUCCAUCUCUGUGAGCAGAGGAAGGGGUUAAUAAAAUGUAGCUACAUUCCAUGCAGUCCUCAACAAUUUUACACAAAUACAAGAAGUGUCAUUAACCUGCUUAUUGAAUAAAAUGGGAAACUUUCAUUUUCAAAGAGUUUUAGAAACUGAGGGAAGACGUACAUUUAUUCAGCUUUGAUUUUUUUUUUCCUUCAAAGACAGUUAACUUGGUGACUUUACUCAUUUUUCCCUGUCAAAAAAAAUAUCUUUUGAAUUGCAUUAAGUCUGAGUCAGAAAGCUCAGCACUAAAACCUUAUUUUAAAACACACUGAGGAAUUAAAGCUUUCUGCAGGGUGAGCAGAAGUCUUUCUCCAAGGACACAUCAAUUGGAACCUGCUUUUCAAAAUAUCUGUUUGGCAAUUAACAGUGUAACACGAAGAAGAAAGACUGCCUUGUAUUUAAUGCAAAAUAGUAAGACUCAGCAUAUUUGAGUGCUGUUCAUUACUCUCUUAUCAUUCUUCUAUAACCUUAAUCAAGACAUGUUCCAAUUUUCAAAUGACAGUUUGGGUUAGGGUGCAGGUUUUUGUGUUGUUUUAAGAGGAAUUAAGCAUGUAUAAAUUGUCAAGUUCAGUAAGAACCUACAGUGCUUUGUUCAUCUGGAAGUCCCCUGCACCAGAGCAGAGUGGUGAGGGGACACAUCAGCCCCUGGACCUCUCCCUCACAUAUUUUCAAAUGAUGGCACUUCCUCACCAAGUCACCCAGCUGUGGUACAGAUGUUCAUAUUGUUCAUUCAUAUGUUUGGACACAUAUUUAAUACUGUGCUGUUUAUUUAUUAAUAUCAGUAUUUUCACAUUGCAAAAUAGAAAUAUAUAAACUCAGUAGCUUGAGAAGCUUAAAGAAGCAUUUGCAUUUUGACCUAUAUUUUUUUCCUUACACUGCUCUGUAAAUAGCAGAAAAACUUUGCUUUUCCCUGGGUAAAAUAAUUAAUAGUCUUUAAUAUAGUCUUUCCUCUCCCUUCUGAAUUCCAAGAGUUUCCCACCUAUGAGAAACCCUCUAAAAGGCAAUGUGUAUGCAGCACGGAGCACAGUACCCUUCAGUUUUAAGAGGGCUAAAUACUGGAAAGUAAAAAGCACUUCACCCUCCUUCCUUUUAUUUUUUAUUUUCUUCUCUUUUCUGUAUAAAUCUAGAAAAAAAAAUAGGAAGCACAAGUAGUUUAUGUAUUAAAAAGUGGCUUUGGGGAAUCACUGGGGAAUACAUGUGUUUUAAAAGGUCUUAACCAGGAAGCAGCUUCAGAAGUAACUGCACACAUCAAGCAGAACCAACACAUUUGGACCUCCUGCAUGAAAAACUCAAGGAAUUAAUUCAGAAAUUUAUGCAUCAAGCCCGUGACUUCUACUGAAGUAGCUGUUGACCUGGAGAGAUCAAGUCUGGGAAUUUGAGAGAGAAGUCCACCAGUUAUGUGGACUUUUAAGCUGGCCUCAUAGCCUUGCUCUCAAAUUUAUGCCUUUGUAUUUGUCUGCAUUCAUCAAGCCUGAGCUUCUAAUUAUUAGCUAUCAGGUUUAAGGACUGUGUAUCAAGAUUUUUAACUCUGUUCUCCAGGUCUUGCUUUAUCCUUGUAACUCUUUAUAAUUCCGCUUCCCAUUUUUCAAAAAUUUAUUUUUGUUUGUUUGAAAAUACUGUUAGGGUGGGCCUACAGCUUAUCGUGUAGACCACAGACAGGUAAAACAACAAACAUCAAGUGCAGCUUCUUUUCACCCACCCACAUCCCCUGUUUGCUGUGCCUUAGGAAUGAGUCCAGUGGUGUGACCUGUCCGACUCUGUCCAGGCUGAAGUUCCCUGCUGCUUCUCUGUCCUUUGUCAUGUAAAACAAGGAUACAGCAUUUCCAUCUUGUCCCCUUGCCCCUGCAGAUGUCACAACUCACCGUUAACAGUCUCAUUCCUUCCAACACAUGCGGUUGGCUUCUCUUGAGCAAAAAAAUAAAGAUCUGUUGGACUAUUUAUGUCUGUUUGUGGUUACAGGAUCAGGCCAAAGGAAAUGUGCAAAACAAUCUGCACUUCAGCAAUCAGUGUUUCUACUGAGUGUUUUAUAAUGAUGCUAAGUCUUGAAAAAACAGACUGAAGAGGAUCAGUGAAGAGUUCAUGUCAGUAGUUUACAUACAGAGAGCACUGCUUGAAAAACAUUUCAUGUUCUCAAAAGAAGGUAUUUGCAAACAGAAAGUUCUAAUCCAAGGUAAAUCCAAGAGAAAGUGUGAGGUGUUAGGGUGUGGACAGACACAAUUCAUCUUCCCAAACAAUGCUAAACCCACCUUUUCUGUACUUGUGGACUCAUCAAACAGUUGAAGUUCACAGCUUUGGUGGAAGAUGAGAGUAACUUGACUUUCAGAGAUUACAGGUGUGUUCUCUGCACCCCACUCCCAUUAUUCUUCUUCACUUUCUCUCCUCCCCUCCUUCCUUGUCCACAAAGGUCACUGGUUGGUAGCCAGUAUGUGUCAGUGACAGAAUGCAUGGUGCUUUAGAAAUGCCUUGGUGAAUGCCUGACAUUUCAGCAGUGGAUUCAAUCAGGGAACAGUUGCUACUGAAAGCUAGAAAAUCACUUUCCAUCCAUUUUUUCAAUUGGAAUAUUUCACCAGGGCUUUAACUAGCACACAUAUUCAAUGCAGAAAUGUAAUGAGUCCAUUGUCUGAGCAUCCACUCACAUUGACUGUAAAUUGCUUCUCUUCAUUUCAGCAUCCCUGGUGGAAUUUGUGUUUUAAUUAUUUAAUGUUUUUUAUAGCAAGCUUUCAAUUCAUGAUCCCACAUAAGCCUGACUCAAUAGUCUGCCUUGCCCUAUAUUGCUGGCAGAUCAGGAAUCAAUGACAAUGCCACAGAGUGGCACAGUGUGCUCGUCCUGACAUUACUGAUGCACGGAAAUGUGGUGGCAUGCAAUGGCUCAAAACACCUGGGCAUCUGGUGUUUGCAAACAAAAAUAAUUCCUUACGGUCAAUAUUGGUUAGAGGGUGCAUGCAAGUCACCCAGAUCUUUUCCUUAUUCCCAGAAUCUUUUCUGUUUGCAGGAGAGCAAUGUUCCACUUCCACCUGAGCCAUGAAGAAUUCUUCAAAUCAGAUUAGUUUCUAAUGUCACAAACAUGCCUGGCCUGACUCAGUCAUUUAUUUUGUGAUAACACAGCAGCCUGAAGUACUUUAAGACUUGAGGUCAAGACAGCACAAAAAUCAUAGAAAAAAAAAAAAAAGAUAAGUUUGAUGAGAGACAUACCUGUCUGAAAAAAGAAAGAUAGCAAGGCAGCAUCAGUCAGAGGGGGAUUGUGUAGACACGAGACAUUCAGAUAUCUGUAAUACGUCUGGCUUGGUCCCACCUGGCAUUCCUGUAAAAUUAGCAUUAUAAAUCUCUAGACUAAAAGAAGAGAGGAUGUUUAAUGUCCCAUGCUGAGAUGUCUAAUAGACAGAAAAAGCAACAAAAAUGAUGAUAAUGCAGCUCUUGCCUAACACAAAU